CCCGCUGAACUUAAGCAUAUCAAUAAGCGGAGGAAAAGAAACUAACAAGGAUUCCCCUAGUAACUGCGAGUGAAGCGGGAAGAGCUCAAAUUUAAAAUCUGGCAUGCCUCUGGCUGUCCGAGUUGUAGUCUGAAGAAGCGUUUUCCGUGUUGGACCGUGUAUAAGUCUCUUGGAACAGGGCGUCAUAGAGGGUGAGAAUCCCGUCUUUGACACGGACUACCAAUGCUUUGUGAUGCGCUCUCAAAGAGUCGAGUUGUUUGGGAAUGCAGCUCAAAAUGGGUGGUAAAUUCCAUCUAAAGCUAAAUAUAGGCGAGAGACCGAUAGCGAACAAGUACCGUGAGGGAAAGAUGAAAAGCACUUUGGAAAGAGAGUUAAACAGUACGUGAAAUUGCUGAAAGGGAAACGCUUGAAGUCAGUCGUGUCUGCCAGGACUCAGCCUUGCUUCUGCUUGGUGUACUUUCUGGUCGGAUGGGCCAACAUCAAUUUUGACCGUUGGAGAAAGGCUUUGGGAAUGUGGCACCUUUGGGUGUGUUAUAGCCCUUUGUUGUAUACGACGGUUGGGAUUGAGGACUGCAGCACGCCUUUAUGGCCGGGGAUAUACCCACGUACGUGCUUAGGAUGUUGGCAUAAUGGCCUUAAGCGACCCGUCUUGAAACACGG
rnacentral:rRNA from 1 species